rnacentral:rRNA from 1 species
UACGAAUGGGGCAAGCGUUGUUCGGAAUCACUGGGCUUAAAGCGUAUGUAGGCGGACAUGAAAGUCAGGAGUGAAAUCCCUGGGCUCAACCCAGGAACUGCUUCUGAAACUCCAUGUCUAGAAUCCAGGAGAGGUUGGCGGAAUUCCGAGUGUAGAGGUGAAAUUCGCAGAGAUUCGGAGGAACACCAGUGGCGAAGGCGGCCAACUGGACUGGUAUUGACGAUCAGAUACGAAAGCGUGGGGAUCAAACAGG